AUUCCAGCUCCAAUAGCGUAUAUUAAAGUUGUUGCGGUUAAAAAGCUCGUAGUUGGAUUUCUGCCGAGGAUGACCGGUCCGCCCUGUGGGUGUGCAUCUGGCUCAGCCUUGGCAUCUUCCUGAAGAACGUAGCUGCACUUGACUGUGUGGUGCGGUAUUUAGGACAUUUACUUUGAGGAAAUUAGAGUGUUUCAAGCAAGCGCACGCUUUGAAUACAUUAGCAUGGAAUAAUAAGAUAGGACCUCGGUUCUAUUUUGUUGGUUUCUAGAGCUGAGGUAAUGAUUGAUAGGGAUAGUUGGGGGCAUUCAUAUUCCAUUGUCAGAGGUGAAAUUCUUGGAUUAACGGAAGAUGAACUUCUGCGAAAGCAUCUGCCAAGGAUGUUAUCAUCG
rnacentral:rRNA from 1 species